GCAUUUGAACCAAAUAAUCUGUAGGCCUUUCAAAUCAGUUAAAAUCCAGUAAAAUGGGUGGGAUUGAAUGAGUUAAAUAUU